rnacentral:ncRNA from 16 species
UAAUACUGCCUGGUAAUGAUGAC